CAGAGACUGCAAGCGUUAUUCGGAUUCACUGGGCGUAAAGGGUGCGCAGGCGGCCGGGUGUGUCAGAUGUGAAAUCCCGAGGCUCAACCUCGGAACUGCGUCUGAAACUACUCGGCUAGAGUAUUGGAGAGGGUAACGGAAUUCACGGUGUAGCAGUGAAAUGCGUAGAUAUCGUGAGGAACACCAGAGGCGAAGGCGGUUACCUGGACAAUUACUGACGCUCAGGCACGAAAGCGUGGGGAGCAAAAGGGAUUAGAUACCCCUGUAGUCCACGCCCUAAACGGUGCACACUAGGUCUUGGCGGAUUCGACCCCACCAGGGCCCAAGCUAACGCGUUAAGUGUGCCGCCUGAGGACUACGGUCGCAAGACUA
rnacentral:rRNA from 1 species